GAACCGGAUUUUCCGGCAGUUCCUUUCAGUUUCGUUUGGACUAAAUUAAUACCUUUUAAUGCUUAUAAUUACGACUAAAGACGUUUUGAAUCAUUCUCGGUUACGCGUUUUCGAACACCACAAAAACCCAACCUUCGUCCCUGUUCUUCUCGACAUCACACACAUCUCGGCACCAUCUCACCAUCUUCUGGCCGAUAACAACCCACCGGAGAACCUGCAAGUCAACCGGACAUCGCCGGAACAUCAAACCCGCUGGGAAAGUCGGGGCUUCAUCGGAGAUACGUUGGCCUCGAUUUCGUCUUCUCGCCAAAGGCAUAUGUAAGAGUCAUACCUUGCCCAUUCAUCGGAGUUCGAAACAAUUGCCGAAGUCGAAACAUGUCGAAGACCCGCAGACCACGUCGAAGGUAACCGCCAUCACGACGGAAGUUCACCGGAGAAGAAAGCUCAAGCCAAAACUAACGGAUCUUCGUUUCGAUGAUACGAACACGUCGGGACUCGAGAUUCACGUUGGAGUCUAACUCGUUCUUGGGCAUCCUCGUUCUUGUUCGGUUUCAAAAGAAGAACACGUCGGAGACGACCGGGGGUCACGACAAAGCCACGAUACGUUUCGUUUGCGUAUGAUGACAUGGUUGGUUCGGGUUCACGACAUGUCGUUCGCCGUUUCGGAUAACCUUUUGCGUUCACUCCUCUUGGACAAUCCCUUGAUUCUUAAUCUUUUCCAAGAAAAACGCAACGCAACCUAAGGGUGAGGAAGUCAAGAUUUGAAGAAAUGAAUAGGAUGGCCUAGAAACCCAC